rnacentral:rRNA from 1 species
GACGAACGCUGGCGGCGUGCUUUAGGCAUGCAAGUCGAACGCGAAAGCCCCUUCGGGGGUGAGUAGAGUGGCGAACGGGUGAGUAACACGUGGGUAACCUGCCCCUCGCAGGGGGAUAACCGGGGGAAACCCCGGCUAAUACCCCGUACGCUUGCUGGGGCGCAUGCUCCGGCAAGGAAAGGUAGCUUCGGCCAUCCGGCGAGGGAGGGGCCCGCGGCCCAUUAGCUAGUUGGUGGGGUAACGGCCCACCAAGGCGACGAUGGGUAGCUGGCCUGAGAGGGGGGUCAGCCACACUGGGACUGAGACACGGCCCAGACUCCUACGGGAGGCAGCAGCCAGGAAUCUUGCGCAAUGGGCGAAAGCCUGACGCAGCAACGCCGCGUGGGCGAUGAAGGCCUUCGGGUCGUAAAGCCCUGUUGUCGGGGACGAAGGGCGAAGGGUUAAGAGCCCCUAGCCUGACGGUACCCGACGAGGAAGCCCCGGCUAACUACGUG